GACGAACGCUGGCGGCGUGCUUAACACAUGCAAGUCGAACGCUGAAGCCCUUCGGGGUGGAUGAGUGGUGAACGGGUGAGUAACACGUGGGUAAUCUGCCCUGCACUCUGGGAUAAGCCUUGGAAACGGGGUCUAAUACCGGAUAGGACACAUCGCCGCAUGGUGUGUGUGUGGAAAGUUCCGGCGGUGCAGGUUGAGCCCGCGGCCUAUCAGCUUGUUGGUGGGGUGAUGGCCUACCAAGGCGACGACGGGUAGCCGGCCUGAGAGGGUGACCGGCCACACUGGGACUGAGACACGGGCCAGACUCCGACGGGAGGCAGCAGUGGGGAAUCUGGCGCAAUGGGCGAAAGCCUGACGCAGCAACGCCGCGUGGGGGAUGACGGCCUUCGGGUUGUAAACCUCUUUCGACCGGGACGAAGGAUUCGUUUGACGGUACCGGUAGAAGAAGCACCGGCUAACUACGUGCCAGCCGCCGCGGUAA
rnacentral:rRNA from 1 species